CUACGGUCUCAGUUCAGAUUGCAGGCUGCAACUCGCCUACAUGAAGUCGGAAUCGCUAGUAAUCGCGGAUCAGCAUGCCGCGGUGAAUACGUUCCCGGGCCUUGUACACACCGCCCGUCACACCAUGAGAGUUUGUAACACCCAAAGCCGGUGGGGUAACCUUUUGGAGCCAGCCGUCUAAGGUGGGACAGAUGAUUGGGGUGAAGUCGUAACAAGGUAGC
rnacentral:rRNA from 1 species